GGCGGUUCCCAGGUUCCACACAGGAAGAGGCGGGGCGAGGCUCCUCCCUGCUGCAAAGGUCACAAACCUCGAGGCUUCGUCUCAGCGGGCGGGCUGGUUCUCCAGGGACCCCCUCCCACCUGGCUGUCUCAACUUGAGCAGCUGUCCAUGCUGGGGUGCCCGCCAGGGGUGUGGGAACCACUCCCAAGAGGCCUAGCAGUCCCAGCACUGACCAGGGUUGACCCGAGGAGUAACCUGCCUCCCCCGGAAAACCUGAGCUGUCUUCUUCCCACCUCAGUCACCACCCAGAUGUGAAGUAAUGCAAAAGGCUCAACGUGGUCAAAAGAGCCCCGUUAGCCAGAAUCUAGCCUCGGUUGCAAAGCAGCUUAACAUGCAACAGCUCCCUACACGUUCUCCUGACCCCACCCUCCACCAACCCCCAAAGGCAGAAGCCAUGAAGUCAGGACAAAGAAGGGUGGUGGCCAUGAUAUCCCAUUGUUCUACAGGUACAGGACCACACAACGAGGACAAAAUAAGACGUUUAAAUAUUCGAAAGAGCUGUCUCUACUAUAAUGUAGAUGAUACAUUUAUAAACCUGGAAAACUCACAAGAAUGGACUGUGAAGGUCAGAAAACACCAAGGGUUGCCGGCAAAAUCAGAAGCCAAGAGAAAGGCAUGGACCAGAUUCACCCCUAGGACCUUCAGAAAGACCAUGGGCUUCCAGUACCUUCACGUUGGACUCCAGCCUCCAGAACUGUGAGAAAAUACAUUCUUACUGUCUUCAGACGCGCAGUUUGCGGUCAUUUGUUACGGCAGUCUUAGCACACUAAUAAGGAUCUCAGUUCUUCCCAUGUUGGCUACAAGGUUAAUUCGAUCCUGAUCAAAGUCCUAAAAAGGGUAAGAGACUUAAAUGUCAACGUAUCAGAAUGAAAACAGAGUUAGAUCCAGGAAAUUUCUGAAAAAGAGAAGUAACAGAGCAGGACCAGCACUCCCUUCCAGGGAGUGGCCCCGCUGCUGAGAGGGAGGGCCCGGGACAGAAGACGGAGUUCCAAAAUAGGCUAAGUAUAAACGGGGAUUUAGUACACAACGGGGGAGGAAUG
rnacentral:lncRNA from 1 species